UGUGAUGUGGGUGCGAGCGACCGAGGUAGUGAAUGAAUGAGUAUCUCUCUAUAACUGUAUGUAUGUAUGUAUGUAUGUAUGUAUGUAUGUAUGUGUGAGAGUGUGAGUGUGAGUGAGAGAGAGGGAGAAUGAAAAUGUUUAUUUAGGAUUUUUAAAAUCUACACAAUGAUCUUAUUUGAUCAGGUUGGAGUCUGGCCUUACUCUAAUACUGAGAUGAUAAAAAACGAUGCGCUAGCUAACUAGGCGGUGUGCGUGUAUAUCACCGAUUGAAAGGCUUUUUAUGGUUUAGAAAUGAUGAAUUGAUCAGAUAUACUAGUGCCGAGUUGCUCGGGCCAUGAGUAUAAAGGCGAUUCUGAUCUAA